CAGUCGCGCGGGAAUACGAAGGGUGCAAGCGUUAAUCGGAGUUACUGGCCGUAAAGCGUGCGUAGGCGGUGAGUUAAGUCUGCUGUGAAAUCCCCGGGCUCAACCUGGGAAUGGCAGUGGAUACUGGCUCGCUAGAGUGUGUCAGAGGAUGGUGGAAUUCCCGGUGUAGCGGUGAAAUGCGUAGAGAUCGGGAGGAACAUCAGCGGCGAAGGCGGCCAUCUGGGACAACACUGACGCUGAGGCACGAAAGCGUGGGGAGCAAACAGGAUUAGAUACCCCCGUAGUCCCUGUCUCUUAUACA
rnacentral:rRNA from 1 species